GCAGGAGGCGGGACUGAAACAUCCACGCAAAGAUAUAUGGGUUUCUGACCUUAAACUAGGCGGCCAGUCCUUUAAAUAAUCCGAGGUACAUAUUGAUUGAGAUGCGUAAUUACAAUAUAUUCAAGCAAGCUUGAGUAAGGAGAUUCAUCAACAGAUCAACUGAAAGAAGGACACUAACGCAACAAUAGUUGGAUCGAGCGAGGAUGUUGAAAUUAACGCAGAAAGUUGUUCUACAGAACUGUUAAGUCGGCCUCUAUAUAUGAUUAAAAUAUUGCAAGUUCUAGAUAGCUUCUCAUAUUUGGUACUUUGUGAAGUGCAGCUUAUGAUGAUGUUUGUGGUUCAUUUUUUGCAUAACAAAACUUGUUUCCAGUUCCACGCAGGUCAAUGUGGGGGAAGAUUGCUUCGUCCUAGCUUCUUCAAUAAGAAGACUAAAUAAGGUACAAAUCAGUGCUCGUAUCAAAUUCUUAUUAGCAUUUUUGUUUGGCGUAGUUUCAAUUACUCAUCAUGGUAUUAAUGCAGUCACAUACUCACAUAUGUACCUUAACUAUUUUAAGAAUUACACAUAUAACUGAACUAUCCAGGCACCAUCAAGUUGCCGAUGUGUAUGUAUUGCCUUGAAUUUGUCUUAUGUCUGAUGGAAAGUUAAAUAGGCGCCACACAAAAAAAGUACAUUUUCUAUAACCUAUUGUGUGAUAGGUACAGUAUGUAUUGUAGGAGUUAGUAUUUGACUAAAAAUAAAGAUUUAUGGUACUGUUGUCAUGUUUCAGGUAGGACCUGGGAAGCUAUCCUAAUUAGUAGAAAACAGUGCUUGUACAUUGUUAAAACAUUGUAUAAUGGGACUGUAUAAGUUAGUGUUUCAUUUGUAUUUCAUUCUUUUUCAUUCCAUCUAGCGGAAGUAUGUAGGGACUACGUAGACUAAAAGUACAGAGUUGUAUGGAACUGCAAGUAGGUUUUGGUUAAAUAGAAUAUUCGAUCUACAUAGAAAAUAGGUCUGUAAGGAUUACAAAAUAAAAUCAUGUGAUGUAUCACGGUUGUAGUUCCAUACAUCUUAUGCAUAUAAAAUGUUUCCCAGAAUAUACUCUGAUCUUAAUGGCUUUGAUCAUCCAACCUGAUGCCUCAGGGUCAAUUUAUGGAAAUAUGUUCAUUGUCUCAUCUACAUGGCAAGUGAAUGCAAACUAGAGAAGAAAAUCGAUACAAUUGGAGAAAUCAUGUAGAAGCUAACGAGAUAAGAAUGAAGUGAAGCAACACAGGUUGUGGUACAGCCAUAAACUACCUGUGGCUGGAGAAGGAGGAAAAUCAACCUUUUCUUCUUAAAAGAUCUUCUUUGUAUUAUUGCAAGAUUAGAAUCUCGGGUUAAUGUUGGUUGUGGACUUCACAUGAAAUUGGUGAGUUUACUGUUAUUUAGGAUAUAUGAUUUUAAUUAGUGAGUGUAUUUACCAGGAAGUGAUCCAGGUUAAUUCUUUACUGAUUAUUUCAGAUUUCAAAGUUAUUGAUUAUUGAUGCUCUCACAUUGGUCUUUUUGCCAACAUCGAUAGCAUACCCAAUGGGAGCCAUGCACAUGCGGUAGAGCUUUGUGCACCUCAUAUGCAGAACUACGAUGCUUGGAGUGGGACAGCAGGUUGAGCUAUGGCUUGGACGAUGACCAAUGCGGCGGCCAUAAUCAGAUGGCGGCGUACAGCUUUGGACAUUGAACAUGCGAACAUCAGUUUCGAUUUUGGCGUGAAACGCAGUCCAAAUCCUUGAGAGUAUCAUAGAAGUUCCUAACAGGACUCUUUCAUCAAUGCAUUAAUGUGCAAAAUGCAAGUCUCUGAGGUAAGUUCAGUUCUUCUUGAAUCGAUUGCAGGAGGAUGCCACUUAGAAGUGUGAAUUUUUUAAUUCAAUUUUUGGAGCCUCAUCUACUUUUCCUAUUUUGUAUACUGGGUUUAGUAAGAUGAUGAGGUACACUAGGGCUUGGCGCUCGAUUGGUUCAAGUCAGUACUACCCUUUUUCGGUCAAUUUUGAUGCUCAUGGUUAGAAUUGACAUUUGCCAUCAGGUUUUCAUUUUGCACAAAUGAAGAGUGCGUGCCUGCUCAAAACGAUACACGUGCUCCACUUUCUUGAGAUGCUUUGAAGGAAAAAAAGUAUACGUCCACUUUUUAUUUCUGUCAGUGUGAACAACUAGGGUGGCCAAAUUUCCAUUGCUGCAUCUUGCACACAUUUUCUGCUUCUUACUUAGUUCCAUAAGAGCAAGAAAAUGAUGAUUGUACCCUAUAAAAACGACGAGCAUGGAUAAGUCGAUCUUUGGCGUUAAAGUGAGGACAACAUAUAGUGUUUUGUGGAGCAAGAAGAGUCAAAGAGUGCUUAAUCUAAAAAGGAAACAAAUUUUUCUGUCAUAA